UUUCUUUUACCUCUUCGCUAUAUUCAACUUUCUCUGAACUGGUCUCUUCACAUACUUCAUUGACUGGGGAGCUGUCAACAUUUUCCUUUUGACCAUUAUCACUCUGAAUAGGCUCGUCACUUUUUACUUCAUGUUCUUCACUUUCUACCUGAGAUUUUGUUUGUGAUGUGAUGCAAUCAUCAUGCAACAGUUCUUGCUGCUUGGUUUCAACACUUGGUUUGAUUUCUUUAGUAUCUUCCUCUUGCUCAAUCUCUGAACAAGAUUGAACAGUUUUGUUGUCGCUUUCAUCAGGCUUUUGUUCUGUUUUGUCCUAUUAGAGAAAAAGUAUUCAGUUAGAUAUGAUGAUUUAUAUAAAUAGGCUCAAAGUUUUUAAAAACAAUCUCUGUGGUAGGUUUUUUUCAUUGUUCUUUUUUAAGAUAAUUGUGAGUGACAGUUGUUCUUUAUAACAUUAACAUGAUUCUACAUUGCUUAGUAAUAAAACAUUAAAAGUUUUAGUAGGAAAGAUAUACAAGUAAAACCUUUUGGAUUGUUCAGAGUUAACAUGGGAUGAACACGAAUUACCUCUUGAGCAUCAAUUGCACUCUGAUUCGGCUCCUCGAACUCGAUAUCAGCCACUGGGGUAGCCUUUUGACCAAUUAUUGUUUCUUUUAUAUCCUCGCUGGAUGCAUUCUGUGAGCUUGUAACAUCAUCUCCACCACCUUGGACUUCUUUUGACAUUUUAAUCUCUUGUUCCUUUUCUUGAUUUUCCUCAUUGUUCACUAUUUCAUUCUCAUUCAAUUCAGAUUCAGCCUUCUCUGAGCUUGUUGCUUCACAUACUUCCUUCACCAAGGGGCUUUCAGACUUAUCUGUUUGACCAUCAUCAUUCACCAAUGCCUCUUCAUCAAUCUUUAUAUCAUCUUUUGUUUCGGCACUAGAUUUGAUUUCUUCAGUAUCUUCCUCUAAAUACUCUCUAGGUUUGACAAAUUCGGGUUCCUUACCUUCAUCAUCAUAUUUUGUUUCUGGUAAGUCCUGUAUAGAAGUUGCAUCUUGUGAGAAAGUGACAUCAUCUUUUCCUUGGUCUUCUUCUGAAAUGAUGGACUCUUGUUCUUGUUCUUGUUCUUUUUCUUUUUCUUGAUGUUCAUCUUUGUCAGAAGGUUCUACCCCUUCAAAUUUACCCUUCUCUAAGUGAGUUUCUUCACAUACUUCAGUCACAUCUUCAUCGUCUGUAAUCUUUACCUGCUCCUUUUCAUCUGUUUCCACACUUGGCUUGAUUUCUUCAGCAUUUUCAUUUUUGUUGACACUUUCCUCGGGCUUUUGUUCUAUUUUUUCAUUUGCUCCACUCUCAUCCUGCUCACUUGCCUAUAUGAACACAAGUAUUUUGAGUACAUGUGGAGAAUAAAAGUAACACAUCAUGAUAAGUCUAAUGCAUAGUCAAACUUUUAAAACAAUCUUUGUGGCAGCUUCAAAAAAAUUUGUGAGCCAAAUUUGCUAUAAACUACUUUAUAGAAUGGUUUUCUCUAAACAUUUAUCGUUUUAUGAACUCUAACUCUUCUCAACAAAUGAAACUAAACGUUUGGAUGAGACAAGCAUUUGACAUUAAAAUUAUGUAUGAAAAUCAUAAUAUUGUCUUAUACUUUUAUAAAUUAAACAUAAAACUAGUAAGAAUUAGCCUUAACAUUUAACAAUACAUUAGUAUAAUAUGUGAUUUUUAGUUUCUCUUACACAUGAGAUAAGAAAAUAUGUAGCAGACAACAACAUUUCCAUAUGUCAUAAUGAUUAUAGCAUUUCAAAUUCUAGUAAGACUGAUCUACAAUUAAAACUGUAAAACCUUUUAGGAAUAGUUAGGUUUACUUAGAAUGAACAUGAAUUACCUCUUGCACAUCAGUUGAUUUGUCCUCUGCUUCUUCCUUAAGGAUCUCCUUAGGCGUUGAGUUUAGAGCCUGUUCCUCCUCUAAAUAGGCCACUGUAGUAACAUGCUCACCAGUUGUUGUUUCUUUUAUAUCCUCAAAUGUUGCAUCUUGUGAACUUGUAACAUCAUCCCCUAAACCUUUUCCUGACACAUAAACCUCUUGUUCCUUUUCUUCAUCUUCAACUUUGCUUGCUAUUUCGUUUUCAUUCAGAUCGAUAUUAACACUGUCAGAAAGUUUUAACCCUUCUUCAGAUUCAACCUUCUCUGAGACAGUCUCUUCACAUACUUCCUUCACCAUGGUCUCUGUAUUAGAACUAUCAGAGUAGUUCACCUCUUCUUUAUAUUCAAUUUUCUCUGAACUAGCCUCUUCACAUACUUCAACACUUGGUUUGGUUUCUUCAGUAUCUUUCUCUUGCUCAAUUUCUGAACCAGACUGUACAAUUUUGUUGUCACUUUCUGCAGACUUUUGUUCUUUUUUGUCCUAUUAGAGAAGAAAUAUUCAGUAUAUUAUACGACUGAAAGAAAAGAAAUGAUGAUUUAUAUAAACAGGCUUAAAGUUUUUAAAAACAAUCUUAAGGGUAGGUUUUUUUCAUUGUUAUUCUAUAAAAUAAAUGUGAGCGACAGUUGUACUUUAUAACAUGAAUCUACAUUGGUUAGUGAUAAAAAAAAGCAUUUCAAGUUUUAGUUGGAAUGAUGUACAAGUAAAACCUUUUGGAUUGUUUAGGAGUUAACAUGGUAUGAACAUGAUUUACCUCUUGAACAUCAAUCACACUCUGAUUCUGCUCCUCGAACUCGAUAUUAGCCACUGGGGUAGCCUGUUGACCAAUUGUUGUUUCUUUUAUAUCCUCACUGGAUGCAUUCUGUGAUCUUGUAACAUCAUCUCCACCACCUUGGACUUCUUCUGACAUUUUAAGCUCUUGUUCCUUUUCUUGAUUUUCCUCUUUGCUCACUAUUUCGUUCUCAUUCAAUUCAGAUUCAGCCUUCUCUGAGGUUGUCGCAUCAUAUACUUCCUUCACCAAGGGGCUUUCAGACUUCUUUGUUUGAUCAUCAUCAUUCACUAAUGCCUCUUCAUCAAUCUUUAUAUCAUCUUUUGUAUCAGCACUAGAUUUGAUUUCUUGAGUAUCUUCGUCUAUAUUCUCUCUAGGUUUGACAAAUACAGGUAAGUUCUCUAUAGUGGUUGCAUCUUGUGAGCAUGUGAUAUCAUCUUUUCCUUGGUCUUCUUCUGAAAUGAUGGACUCUUGUUCUUUUUCUUUUUCUUGAUCUUUAUCAUUGUCAGAAGGUUCUACCCCUUCAAAAUUUCCCUUCUCUAAUUGAGUUUCUGCACAUACUUCAAUCACAUCUUCUUCAUAGUCUGUAAUCUUCACUUGUUCCUUUUCAUCUAUUUCCACACUUGGCUUGAUUUCUUCGGUAUCUUCAAUUUUGUUGACAAUUUCCUCGGGAUUUUGUUCUAUUUUUUCGUUUGCUCCACUCUCAUACUGCUCGCUUGCCUACAUGAAAACAAGUAUUUUGAGUACAUGUGGAGAAUGAAAGUAAUACAUCAUGAUAAGUCUAAUGCAUAGUCAAAGUUUUAAAACAAUCUUUGUGGCAGCUUCCAAAAAAAUUGUGAGCCAAAGUUGCUAUAAACUACUUUAUAGAAUGGUUUUCUCUAAACAUUUAUCAUCUUAUGAACACUAACUCUUCUCAACAAAUGAAAUUAAACCUUUGGAGGAGACAAGCAUUUGACAUUAAAACUAUGUAUGAAAAUCAUAAUAUUGUCUUAUAUUUUUAUAGAUUAAACAUAGAACUAAUAAGAACUCUAACUCUUCACUUACUUGUUGCUCCGUUUCAACACUAGGUUUGAUAUCUUCAGUAUCUUCCCCUUGCUCUGUUUCUGAAGAAGACUUUGCACUUUUGUUGACAAUUUCCUCAGGCUUUUGCUCACUUUUUUCCUCUGCCUCAUUAUCGCACUUCUUGCUUGCCU
rnacentral:lncRNA from 1 species